CCUCCCCCUGCUGCAGGGCCGCCAGGGGCCGAGGACAGAGAGACUCUGUCAGGCCGUGACCACUGGGGGCCAGGCCCUUGGCCAGUCAGGAGCAGCACAGUCCUCAGGAUCUGGGACAUGAGCGACGACGAGACGGUCUGAUGCGUCCCACCCUCGUGUGGCUGGCUUCUCCCUGGCUGCCUGUGGAGGACUUCUCUGUUGCCUGAAUGCGACUGCCACCUCCAGGAUAGGUGACUCUGGGCCCUGCGCCCCUCCCAUCUUUCUGGUCCCCUCCUCUGCAUACCUUGAGGACCAGGGCCCCCUCUCCACUGCCCAGGAGCUUCUGGGGUUCUCCAUUUCUCCUGAUUCAUGAUCCCGCCAGUUCUGAGCUAAAUAAUAACCUUGGCUUUGGCAUUGCCAC